rnacentral:rRNA from 1 species
AUUGAACGCUGGCGGCAUGCCUUACACAUGCAAGUCGAACGGUAACAGGUUAAGCUGACGAGUGGCGAACGGGUGAGUAAUGUAUCGGAACGUGCCCAGUAGUGGGGGAUAACUGCUCGAAGGAGCAGAUAAUACGGCAUACGACCUGAGGGUGAAAGCGGGGGAUCGCAAGACCUCGCGCGACUGGAGCGGCCGAUAGCAGAUUAGGUAGUUGGUGAGGUAAAGGCUCACCAAGCCGACGAUCUGUAGCGGGUCUGAGAGGACGACCGGCCACACUGGGACUGAGACACGGCCCAGACUCCUACGGGAGGCAGCAGUGGGGAAUUUUGGACAAUGGGCGCAAGCCUGAUCCAGCCAUGCCGCGUGCGGGAAGAAGGCCUUCGGGUUGUAAACCGCUUUUGUCAGGGAAGAAAAGGUUCUGGCUAAUACCUGGGACUCAUGACGGUACCUGAAGAAUAAGCACCGGCUAACUACGUGCCAGCCGCCGCGGUAACAC